GACGAACGCUGGCGGCGUGCUUAACACAUGCAAGUCGAACGGAAAGGCCCUGCUUUUGUGGGGUGCUCGAGUGGCGAACGGGUGAGUAACACGUGAGUAACCUGCCCUUGACUUUGGGAUAACUUCAGGAAACUGGGGCUAAUACCGGAUAGGAGCUCCUGCUGCAUGGUGGGGGUUGGAAAGUUUCGGCGGUUGGGGAUGGACUCGCGGCUUAUCAGCUUGUUGGUGGGGUAGUGGCUUACCAAGGCUUUGACGGGUAGCCGGCCUGAGAGGGUGACCGGCCACAUUGGGACUGAGAUACGGCCCAGACUCCUACGGGAGGCAGCAGUGGGGAAUAUUGCACAAUGGGCGGAAGCCUGAUGCAGCAACGCCGCGUGCGGGAUGACGGCCUUCGGGUUGUAAACCGCUUUCGCCUGUGACGAAGCGUGAGUGACGGUAAUGGGUAAAGAAGCACCGGCUAACUACGUGCCAGCAGCCGCGGUGAUACGUAGGGUGCGAGCGUUGUCCGGAUUUAUUGGGCGUAAAGGGCUCGUAGGUGGUUGAUCGCGUCGGAAGUGUAAUCUUGGGGCUUAACCCUGAGCGUGCUUUCGAUACGGGUUGACUUGAGGAAGGUAGGGGAGAAUGGAACUCCUGGUGGAGCGGUGGAAUGCGCAGAUAUCAGGAGGAACACCAGUGGCGAAGGCGGUUCUCUGGGCCUUUCCUGACGCUGAGGAGCGAAAGCGUGGGGAGCGAACAGGCUUAGAUACCCUGGUAGUCCACGCUGUAAACGGUGGGUACUAGGUGUGGGGUCCAUUCCACGGGUUCCGUGCCGUAGCUAACGCUUUAAGUACCCCGCCUGGGGAGUACGGCCGCAAGGCUAAAACUCAAAGGAAUUGACGGGGCCCCGCACAAGCGGCGGAGCAUGCGGAUUAAUUCGAUGCAACGCGUAGAACCUUACCUGGGUUUGACAUGGAUCGGGAGUGCUCAGAGAUGGGUGUGCCUCUUUUGGGGUCGGUUCACAGGUGGUGCAUGGCUGUCGUCAGCUCGUGUCGUGAGAUGUUGGGUUAAGUCCCGCAACGAGCGCAACCCUUGUUCACUGUUGCCAGCACGUUAUGGUGGGGACUCAGUGGAGACCGCCGGGGUCAACUCGGAGGAAGGUGGGGAUGACGUCAAGUCAUCAUGCCCCUUAUGUCCAGGGCUUCACGCAUGCUACAAUGGCUGGUACAGAGAGUGGCGAGCCUGUGAGGGUGAGCGAAUCUCGGAAAGCCGGUCUCAGUUCGGAUUGGGGUCUGCAACUCGACCCCAUGAAGUCGGAGUCGCUAGUAAUCGCAGAUCAGCAACGCUGCGAUGAAUACGUUCCCGGG
rnacentral:rRNA from 1 species